rnacentral:rRNA from 1 species
CCUACGGGAGGCAGCAGUGAGGAAUAUUGGUCAAUGGGCGCGAGCCUGAACCAGCCAAGUCGCGUGAGGGAUGACGGUCCUACGGAUUGUAAACCUCUUUUGCCGGGGAGCAAGCGUGCGUUCGUGAACGCGCGUCGAGAGUACCCGGAGUAAAAGCAUCGGCUAACUCCGUGCCAGCAGCCGCGGUAAUACGGAGGAUGCGAGCGUUAUCCGGAUGUAUUGGGUUUAAAGGGUGCGUAGGUGGGAUGCCAAGUCAGCGGUAAAAUUGCGGUGCUCAACCCCGUCGAGCCGUUGAAACUGGCGUUCUUGAGUGGGCGAGAAGUAUGCGGAAUGCGUGGUGUAGCGGUGAAAUGCAUAGAUAUCGCGCAGAACUCCGAUUGCGAAGGCAGCAUACCGGCGCCCUACUGACGCUGAGGCACGAAAGCGUGGGUAUCGAACAGGAUUAGAUACCCGUGUAGUC